AGACAGUGUCUAGCACUGUUGCCCAGGCUGGAAUGCAGUGGCACCAUCAUAGCUCACCACAGCCUCAGAACUCCUGGACUGAAGCAAUCCUCCGGCCACAGUCUCCUCAGAAGGAUGGAUAGCAACUGGAGGAACAUUCCAGGCAGAAGGAAAGAAGACAAACACAUGUUCCUGGGCUCCACACCGGCACAGUGAAACAGAACUCAUGAAGAUGAGGACUGGUCAUUUCAAGAUCUUCAGUGGGUUCCAUGCAUCUUAAAAUGCUUUGUUAGCCAACGAUCCAACACAAACUGUCAAUGGCAUCUCUGAGAGAUGUUCUUCCAGACUUUUGCUUGAAUACUUUCAGGGGUGAGAUGCCCACUACCUAUCGGCAUAUCCUUUUUCCUUUUGGUCCAGGUCAUAUCAAUGGAACUGUGUCUAGAUAACGAGCUGAAAUCUGUUUUUCAUGGACCUCUGAAGUGCUAUUACAGCAUGCAGCUUCACGCACUUGCAUCAUCUUCCAACACUAACCUCGCCCUGAUGUCCACGCCCAGCCCUGGAACUCCUCCGGCAUUCCCCUUCCACCGUGGCAUUCCCUGCUGGGAUAUCCCAGGGGAAUUUUGCAGCAGAUAUGGAGAUGGACAUGAAGCAAUUAUCAUGCAAAAGUGGGCAGCCAGAAUGCGGAUGAAAACCACAUGCCGAGGACAAAAGGGCAGGAUGAUAGAAGGAGCUGGGGACCCUGGUGACAUCAGACAGCCGCUGCUCCAGUCCCGGAACGCCGACCUCCAGAUGACUUGUUUUACGAGACCAGUACCUAUGUGGUCAAAUCACUCUCGUGAAGUUUUGUGCCACAGAGAUGAACCCAAUCAUUACCUGUUGGAGCCUAUCCUGCCAUACCUCAUGCUUUAAUUAAUAUAUAAAGAGACUUGUAUAAACUUGGCAUCAUACUCCUUUGAACAGAUUUAGAGUAUGGGGACCUGAAUUGUGUGGGCUUUGGUGAGAGAGGCAUGGUCCAGCUGCCAGGGUCCACUCUGGCCCUGCUGCUGGGUGGCCUUUGCUGCUGACUCUGUGAUUAUGCCUGAUUGAUUUGAUUAACUUGGACUGGCACCAGGGUUUCCAUCCAAGGAACACUGACCUUGGUACUUCCCUCCAAAGUUUUGCUGAGUUGAUCUCCAUUCUAGUUUCCUCAAGGGAUACUUACUGAUGAGCAAUGGCAUAACAGACUCUCAGCUAGCUCAUAGUUGUUAUUGUGGAUAUCAUACUUUUUACCUUCAGAUUUUGAGCAGCUACCUUAACAUGAGUGCAUGUUAAAAUUAGUUUAUUGGCCGGGGGCGGUGGCUCACGCCUGUAAUGCCAGCACUUUGGGAGGCCGAGGCGGGUGGAUCAUGAGGUCAAGAGAUCGAGACCAUCCUGGUCAACAUGGUGAAACCCCGUCUCUACUAAAAAUACAAAAAAUUAUCUGGGCAUGGUGGCGCGUGCCUGUAGUCCCAGCUACUCAGGAAGCUGAGGCAGGAGCAUUGCCUAAGCCCAGGAGGUGGAGUUACAGUGAGCCAAGAUCGCACCAUUGCACUCUAGCCUGGGUAACAAGAGCGAAACUCCAUCUCAAAAAAAAAAUUAGUUUAUUGGCCUCCUGGCGGGGCAGCUGACAAUGUUAAAACAGUUAUCUAAAUGAAAUCUGUCUGUUUUUCCUACAGAUUCUCCAUCAAAGAACAGGCAUGCAAAAGUGGUCUCAGCUCCUGAAGGCAGUCAGGACAGAGUAAUUGCUGUGAUAAAUGAGCAACUUCAUGUCACAAUGCUUAGCUAAAUGACAGGUUUAGUCUUUGCUCAUGUCACAGUCCAACUGGGUACCCAGGAGUGAUCUCUCAUAUGGCCAACCAAAGGGCUUCCCCUUCAUGGUUCCAUGAUUUCAGGAGCACCUGGGAGCCUCCAUAGGAUCCUCUGCACCUGUCAGAAAAAUGAUGAGGGAAGUCAGAAUGUGGAAUGUUCUAGAUAAGGCUUGAGAAGUGUUUUAUAGCACUUCUGCCUGUACUUCAUUGACUAAAAUGCCCCACUGAGUGAUACCGUGGGCUGGGGAAUGAAGCCCACCUGUGAGCUUAGGAGGAAAAUAAAAGUUGGCAAAUGUAACAUUGUCUGUGUGCCACAUUCUCAAAACACACUUUGAAAUAUUUGUCUCUAUGUCUUUGCUUACAUUAUUUUCUCAGCACGGACUGUCUUUAGCCUUGAUUUCCACUAACCAACUGAACGGGCCACUUUCAUCAGAGUCUUCUUAAUAAUGUAGUGACCCCAACAGCUACAGGGAAACCACAGCUCCUGUCCUAAAG
rnacentral:lncRNA from 1 species